AGGUAAUCUAGGUAGUGGAGGUAAUCUAGGUAGUGGAGGUAAUCUAGGUAGUGGAGGUAAUCUAGGUAGUGGAGGUAAUCUAGGUAGUGGAGGUAAUCUAGGUAGUGGAGGUAAUCUAGGUAGUGGAGGUAAUCUAGGUAAUCAAGGUAGUGGAGGUAAUCUAGGUAGUGGAGGUAAUCUAGGUAAUCAAGGUAGUGGAGGUAAUCUAGGUAGUGGAGGUAAUCUAGGUAGUGGAGGUAAUCUAGGUAAUCAAGGUAGUGGAGGUAAUCUAGGUAGUGGAGGUAAUCUAGGUAGUCAAGGUAGUGGAGGUAGUCUAGG